rnacentral:rRNA from 1 species
AGUGAACGCUGGCGGUAGGCCUAACACAUGCAAGUCGAACGGCAGCACAGUAAGAGCUUGCUCUUACGGGUGGCGAGUGGCGGACGGGUGAGGAAUACAUCGGAAUCUACUUUUUCGUGGGGGAUAACGUAGGGAAACUUACGCUAAUACCGCAUACGACCUACGGUUGAAAGCAGGGGAUCUUCGGACCUUUCGCGAUUGUAUUAGCCGAUGUCGGAUUAGCUAGUUGGCGGGGUAAAGGCCCACCAAGGCGACGAUCCGUAGCUGGUCUGAGAGGAUGAUCAGCAAAACGGGAACUGAGACACGGAACAGAGAACUACGGGAGGAAGCAGUGGGGAAUAUUGGACAAUGGGGGAAAGCAUGAUACAGCAAUACCGCGUGGGUGAAGAAGGACUUAGGGUUGUAAAGAACUUUUGUUGGGAAAGAAAAGCAGCAGGUUAAUACCCCGCUGUUAUGACGGUAACCAAAGAAUAAGCACCGGCUAACUUCGUG